rnacentral:rRNA from 1 species
ACCCUUUGUUGUCCGACUCUGUUGCCUCCGGGGCGACCCUGCCUUCGGGCGGGGGCUCCGGGUGGACACUUCAAACUCUUGCGUAACUUUGCAGUCUGAGUAAACUUAAUUAAUAAAUUAAAACUUUUAACAACGGAUCUCUUGGUUCUGGCAUCGAUGAAGAACGCAGCGAAAUGCGAUAAGUAAUGUGAAUUGCAGAAUUCAGUGAAUCAUCGAAUCUUUGAACGCACAUUGCGCCCCCUGGUAUUCCGGGGGGCAUGCCUGUUCGAGCGUCAUUUCACCACUCAAGCCUCGCUUGGUAUUGGGCAACGCGGUCCGCCGCGUGCCUCAAAUCGACCGGCUGGGUCUUCUGUCCCCUAAGCGUUGUGGAAACUAUUCGCUAAAGGGUGCUCGGGAGGCUACGCCGUAAAACAACCCCAUUUCUAAGGUUGACCUCGGAUCAGGUAGGGAUACCCGCUGAACUUAAGCAUAUC